rnacentral:tRNA from 1 species
UCCCUGGUGGUCCAGUGGUUAGGAGACUGCCUUACAAUACAGGGGACACCAGUUCGAUCUCUGGUCCAGGAAG